AUUGAACGCUGGCGGCAUGCCUUACACAUGCAAGUCGAACGGCAGCACGGGAGCAAUCCUGGUGGCGAGUGGCGAACGGGUGAGUAAUGUAUCGGAACGUGCCCAGUCGUGGGGGAUAACGUAGCGAAAGCUACGCUAAUACCGCAUACGAUCUGUGGAUGAAAGCGGGGGACCGUAAGGCCUCGCGCGAUUGGAGCGGCCGAUAUCAGAUUAGGUAGUUGGUGGGGUAAAGGCCUACCAAGCCGACGAUCUGUAGCUGGUCUGAGAGGACGACCAGCCACACUGGGACUGAGACACGGCCCAGACUCCUACGGGAGGCAGCAGUGGGGAAUUUUGGACAAUGGGCGCAAGCCUGAUCCAGCAAUGCCGCGUGCAGGAUGAAGGCCUUCGGGUUGUAAACUGCUUUUGUACGGAGCGAAAAGGCUCUCUCUAAUACAGGGGGCUCAUGACGGUACCGUAAGAAUAAGCACCGGCUAACUACGUGCCAGCCGCCGCAGUAACAC
rnacentral:rRNA from 1 species